UCCCGGCCUGUGAGUCAGUCGCGGACCGGCCGCCUCCAGCUCUCCGUGAUGACUGAGGGCUCGUGCGCCAGCGUCGGCGGCGCGCCGUGCAACACGCUUCGUUUUGAAGUGCUGCAUUUUUAAAGAGCCGCUGUCUCGGGCGGGACAUAACUCGCCCGUGUUCUACAUGCAGCUGAGCCCGGCUCUCUAUUAUGAAUUCCAGUUAACGCUAUCAUUUAGCGCCACCUCCGAGCCGUGCUAUUAAUAUUUAAUUAGUCCGUGAUGAGCCGCAGCUUAUUACUUUGAAAUAUCUGCCGGGUCUUUAUUAAAUUUUUGUCCGUUCGUUAAUAAAAGUUGUUUGGCGAAACUAAAUUUUAAUAAGAGUUAGCGGAAAAUGAAAUCUAUAUUAAGGUUUUAAUAAAACGCGAGUAGACGGAACCGGAGCCGAGUUAAAAUAGCCGUAGUGUUGCUGUUCGUGUGCUCGUCCCUGUCAUAGUUGACCUCACGUUGCUCGUGACUCAAUUUAGAGAAUGUCUACUGUUCAUAUUUCUUUAAAUCGUUUGAGUUCCUGAAUGUUUUGUUUUGUAUUCAAGCUAUUCUUAUUCUAAUAUUUUUUACGACCUUCAUAUGUUUGUGGCAGUCGUCAGUAUUGUCAACUGUGUGUCGUUGCUGUCGUUACUGCAGAGACAACGCCGGAUAGCUUUCCUCUCUAUGAAUUAGUAAUAAUGUUAUAUUGAGCUAGUGAACCAGUCGCUGGAGAUAACGCGAUACACACGGACAUACAGACACACGGGUGGGUAUACACCAUGCGAUCGCUGGCUAGGAAAGUGAAGAAACUAUCGGUAAUAGUAAGUCGUAGACGGACUUAAGAUCGCACUGAUUCCCAUUUUUCGCCUAGCUGUGACAUUCAAACAUAAAUAAGUUGUUUUAUUAAAACAUCGUUUUCACGGAUUUCGAUGUUGCGGCUUCGUGUUUGUUUAUUUGGACAUACAAAUAGAGAGUUGGAAUAUUUCAUGAUUAAAAGAAAAGCGACGUUUACAUUCCGUGGAUGGAAAUGUUGUUCAGUAAAGGGAUCCUCCUCAGUCACAGUGACUAUAAACACAAACCGAGAAGCAAACACACCAGGACAGGAAAAGAAAACCUUGAGUUCAGAUCAUCACCGGAUGGAACAGUCUGUUCGUUACCAGCCUGCUUCCACUGCUAGAGUCUUGUACCAGGUGAAGAAGACGUAUCCGAGUCACCUCCGUCACCUUGUCCAACGUGAUCAGGAACUCAAAGUGUCUGAACUCAAAGCAACUUGCGGACUGACAUCAUUAUUAUAUUUUUA